rnacentral:rRNA from 1 species
GAUGAACGCUGGCGGCGUGCCUAAUACAUGCAAGUCGAGCGAACGGACGAGAAGCUUGCUUCUCUGAUGUUAGCGGCGGACGGGUGAGUAACACGUGGAUAACCUACCUAUAAGACUGGGAUAACUUCGGGAAACCGGAGCUAAUACCGGAUAAUAUUUUGAACCGCAUGGUUCAAAAGUGAAAGACGGUCUUGCUGUCACUUAUAGAUGGAUCCGCGCUGCAUUAGCUAGUUGGUAAGGUAACGGCUUACCAAGGCAACGAUGCAUAGCCGACCUGAGAGGGUGAUCGGCCACACUGGAACUGAGACACGGUCCAGACUCCUACGGGAGGCAGCAGUAGGGAAUCUUCCGCAAUGGGGGAAAGCCUGACGGAGCAACGCCGCGUGAGUGAUGAAGGUCUUCGGAUCGUAAAACUCUGUUAUUAGGGAAGGACAUAUGUGUAAGUAACUGUGCACAUCUUGACGGUACCUAAUCAGAAAGCCACGGCUAACUACGUGCCAGCAGCCGCGGUAAUACGUAGGUGGCAAGCGUUAUCCGGAAUUAUUGGGCGUAAAGCGCGCGUAGGCGGUUUUUUAAGUCUGAUGUGAAAGCCCACGGCUCAACUGUGGAGGGUCAUUGGAAACUGGAAAACUUGAGUGCAGAAGAGGAAAGUGGAAUUCCAUGUGUAGCGGUGAAAUGCGCAGAGAUAUGGAGGAACACCAGUGGCGAAGGCGACUUUCUGGUCUGUAACUGACGCUGAUGUGCGAAAGCGUGGGGAUCAAACAGGAUUAGAUACCCUGGUAGUCCACGCCGUAAACGAUGAGUGCUAAGUGUUAGGGGGUUUCCGCCCCUUAGUGCUGCAGCUAACGCAUUAAGCACUCCGCCUGGGGAGUACGACCGCAAGGUUGAAACUCAAAGGAAUUGACGGGGACCCGCACAAGCGGUGGAGCAUGUGGUUUAAUUCGAAGCAACGCGAAGAACCUUACCAAAUCUUGACAUCCUUUGACAACUCUAGAGAUAGAGCCUUCCCCUUCGGGGGACAAAGUGACAGGUGGUGCAUGGUUGUCGUCAGCUCGUGUCGUGAGAUGUUGGGUUAAGUCCCGCAACGAGCGCAACCCUUAAGCUUAGUUGCCAUCAUUAAGUUGGGCACUCUAAGUUGACUGCCGGUGACAAACCGGAGGAAGGUGGGGAUGACGUCAAAUCAUCAUGCCCCUUAUGAUUUGGGCUACACACGUGCUACAAUGGACAAUACAAAGGGCAGCGAAACCGCGAGGUCAAGCAAAUCCCAUAAAGUUGUUCUCAGUUCGGGUUGUAGUCUGCAACUCGACUACAUGAAGCUGGAAUCGCUAGUAAUCGUAGAUCAGCAUGCUACGGUGAAUACGUUCCCGGGUCU